GAUGAACGCUAGCGGCAGGCUUAAUACAUGCAAGUCGAGGGGUAGCAAGAUUGUAGCAAUACAAUUGUUGACGACCGGCAAACGGGUGCGGAACACGUACACAACCUUCCUACAAGUGGGGAAUAGCCCAGAGAAAUUUGGAUUAAUACCCCGUAACAUAGCGAUGUGGCAUCACAUUGCUAUUAUAGCUUCGGCGCUUGUUGAUGGGUGUGCGGCUGAUUAGAUAGGUGGCGGGGUACCGGCCCACCAAGUCUACGAUCAGUAGCUGAUGUGAGAGCAUGAUCAGCCACACGGGCACGGAGACACGGGCCCGACUCCUACGGGAGGCAGCAGUAAGGAAUAUUGGACAAUGGACGCAAGUCUGAUCCAGCCACGCCGCGUGAAGGAUUAAGGUCCUCUGGAUUGUAAACUUCUUUUAUAAGGGACGAAAAAAGGUCUUUCUAGAUCGUCUGACGGUACCUUAUGAAUAAGCACCGGCUAACUCCGUGCCAGCCGCCGCGGUAAAAC
rnacentral:rRNA from 1 species